GCACCAAGGGGAUGGCCCAAGCCAUUCAUGAGGAAUCUGUUCCCAUGAUCCAAAUCCCUCCCACCAGGCCCCACCUCCAACGUUGGAGAUUAAAAUUCAGUAUGAGAUCUGGAGGGGAGAAACGUCCAAACUCUAUCAGAUAGUAAAUUGAUUUAAUGGUCAGGAAUGCAUUUGGUGGCCAGUCUUCCAGGGGGCCCAUGAAAGUUCAGGAUUUCUUCUGAAUUUUGUCCUUGGAGGUGUGGGAAGAAUGAAUAUUGAAUAUUCAUACUCAACAUGAAUAUUUUGGAAGCUGGGCCUGAAAGUUAAGGUUCACUGAAAGCUAAAAAUGAGAUGAACUCAGUGAAAGUACUGUGGAAAGAGGCACCUGGCUGGAUAUUUGAAUCUUCUUAACCCUGAGCUCUGCUUCAGUCUCAUCUGUUGUGUUCAUGACAUGACUCUCUAAUCACUAUGGGCAAUUGGGAAAAUGGUUAUUUUCAAAAAGAAAUUGACUUGUCUCUUCGUAGUUUAAUGUAGAAGCAGGUAUAGUUUGGUUAUGGUGAAAUCUGGUAAGUUGGUCUUUGUGAUAAUACAUACCUUUUGGUUUCAGAAAACAUUGUAUACUUAUUUUCUAUAUGACUAAUUUUCCGAGCACUUUUCAUUCUAGAUAAUUUAUCUUCAUCCCCUAAAAUUCCAGCAGAAACAAUUCUUCCUAUUUAAGAUAUCUUAGCAACUGGUACCCAAUUUAUCUAAUGUAUUCCCUUAGCCUCUAGGAGAAAUUAAAAAUAAUCUGUGGAGUACUGAGUAUAGUCUAAUAGCAGAAGGGUACCAUAGCCCAUUGUUUCUAACUAUUUGCAUCAUUUUUGGCAGGUCCAAUGACGGCAUCCACAGAUGAGGCCAAAGCUUGAAUGCCCUUGGAGCCUAUACUGCUUUUAGGCCCUGGCAGAAACAUGGUUUUUAAAUCACAUUCCAAAGUGCAAUUACCAACAAUGAAUAAAUACAUCAUAACAAUGGGGGAAGCAGAAAAUGACUUUAGAAAGACAGAGUGAUCUUUUGAGACACAGUCUAUAUAAUUCCUAGGAAGCCCUGAUAGUAUCUUCUUGGGAAAUCUCCCUGCUGCAGGAAACUGCCUUCCUAGAUUUUACCUCACUGCCUCUAGUUGCAGUUACUUCAGGUAAACAGACCUCCUUUUAACUGUGACUCUUCCUCAGAGAACCAAAAUAUGCUUUGUUUUUUCUUGGGCCCUAUAGGAUCCUGGUUUGGGAUAAAUCUCAUAUGUCUAUUUUCCAAAGAUCAUUUUGGUUUCUCUGUAUUUGUAAAUGCACUUGAUUGUAAUCACAAAAGAAAAGACAGUGAUGCACUGUGUUGGCUCUGAAGAAAAACAUUGACCAGACAGAAAGUCUUCCCCAUAGCCAAACUGAGCUGUAAUGACCGUGCUUUUCAUUUCUCCCAGGAAAUAGUAAUAUAAUUGGUCACUGUAUUACAGUAAACAGUUUGUUCAUUCUUUGUUCAGUAGAAAAUGUUUGGGAGAUAUGUCUCACAUAAUAUGCUGGCUUCACGAUAAUAAAGACUGGGAAUAGAUUUGUUUCUAA
rnacentral:lncRNA from 10 species